UACGGAGGGUGCGAGCGUUGUCCGGAAUCACUGGGCGUAAAGGGUGCGUAGGCGGGUCUUUAAGUCAGGGGUGAAAUCCUGGAGCUCAACUCCAGAACUGCCUUUGAUACUGAAGAUCUUGAGUUCGGGAGAGGUGAGUGGAACUGCGAGUGUAGAGGUGAAAUUCGUAGAUAUUCGCAAGAACACCAGUGGCGAAGGCGGCUCACUGGCCCGAUACUGACGCUGAGGCACGGAAGCGUGGGGAGCAAACAGGG
rnacentral:rRNA from 1 species